rnacentral:lncRNA from 1 species
CCAGUCGCCCGAGUCUGGAGGUACCGCUGCCGACAGGAUGGAGAGCAGAGGAGAUGCGGACGCCUUCGGAGCGGGGCUGGAGCGGGGCUGUGGUGUGAACCUGAAAGCAGGCCCCGGAGCGGCUGCCCUGGAUCCCCGCUUGGGCCCAACCCCUGCCCCGCCCAGUGGGCCCCAAGGCGAGCAGCUUCUGAGCAACUCCACGAGGGCUCGAAGAGCGAUCUGACAAGUUCGUCCCUUUCUCCGGCGGCAAAGCGCGGGUCCUGUUACCAGUCCAGCCCAGGCAUGGGGGGAAAGCCCAGCGGGAGCCACAGACCUGUAAGGGAAGGCCAGGAGGUCCGUGCCGCCGAGGCGCGGCUUCCUCUCGCCCCGGGGCGUUUUCUCCGAGGCGAAUUUUGGCCGGGGUGUCCAGGCGCUGGGGCUCCGGGAGGAGGAGGCAACUGGAAAGAGGAUGAACAUUUUCAGAUUAGAGUGGUGUGCGUGAAAUUCAAAACACUCCCUUGAUCCAAGCCAAGUCCACCCUCCCCACCGAGCCCACCCCUCAAGAAAGCCAAACUGUAAUGUAGGAAGUUCUCCAAUCUUAUAAGACCUUGUGGAAUAAUCAGCACAAAAAGUCCUGAAUCACGAUAAGUUCUACGUGUGCCCAUCACCCUCGGAAUGGAUAAGAGUCGAUACUCCAAAUGUCCUGGCCGCAGAAGGCGCAUUCGCACAAUGGCACAUUUGAAACCUCGGUGUGACCCUGCCGCUGAUGCCUCCUUCCGCCUUCCUCAAGUCCUCAGAAGCAUCACCCCCCUCUGACAAUCCCGGUGGCCCACACCCACCCUGUUCUCCUGGGUCCCCUUGGGGACUUUCUGUGUGUAUCCCAAGGGCCCAAAGAGUGCACGUAUGCAUCCUAGGUAUACCCACCAAUAAUUAAAGUGUUAGAAGUAGUGGAAUGGAUCGGUGACAUGCAACAGUUUCCAGAACUUGGCGGUCGUUGGAAACCAAACCAAGCCAUCCCCGGAAACCCAACGGUGUUUCCUCUUAGAAGUACCUUAUGUUCAAUGUGUUUUCUAGAAGUUCUGAGAAGCCUAUGAAAAUGAGCUUUAUCUCAUCACUCCUAUUUUGCAUCAGCUUAUGUGGUGUAGACACUGCCCUUAUGGGAGGAAUUGGAAAUGCAAAAGUCAUUCUCAUGCCUCAUCCUGGCCUUCAUUUCAUGAGAUUAGAUUUCCCAGUAUUUCCCGGUGUCAUUGUUUCAAAAAGCAUCUCAUUUUUUUUCUAACUCUCUUGCUUACUCAUGAAGUUGAUUAUGUUUCCACAUAUUACAGCUGUUUUUGAUGUAUUUUCUGUGUAAUACCUGUUUUGCUUUUGCCCAUGUUUUUUGCCAAUGAGUUUUAAAACUUCUUUAUUACCCAUGUGUGUGGAAAUGGCCCUUUUCCAUUCUGUUGUGUUUUUAUUCAUAUUCCUUAUUGUAUCUUUUUUUCCUUAGUGUAUCUUUUGAUAAAGAACCACUCUUAAUGUUAAAAUAACUUCAAAUUUAUCACUUUUGGUCUUUAUUGCUUUGUUUUUAUGCUCAUUUCUUUACACUCCUUAUUGCAAGAUCAUUUCUAUACCAUCUCGAUAUUUAAAUUUUUAUCUCUCAAAAUUUAAACCUUUUUAUUCAGAUAUAAUAGGUUACUUUGCAUUCAUGAGACAGAUCAGCCCUCUUUUCCCCCAUGUGCACAAAUGUUUUGACAUUUUGAAUUGAAGACUUCUUGUUUUUCGAUGUUAUUGCAUCAUUUCCCAUGUUGUGUAGGUUUUUUUUGGUAUGGAUUUCCUUAAUCUUUACUUUCCGUUGUAUUCACUUAAUUGUGUAGUUAGGAGAAUUUCAUUCAAUUCAGAUCUUAAAUAUUAAUAAAUAUAUAUUUGUUAUGCCAAAUUAAUGCAGAAUACUAAUUUAAUUAAUAUAUUUCAUUAGUUUUUGUUACAAAUAUUAUUCUAUGCUAAAUUAAAUUUUUUUCCCCCAUUAAGUUUAUUGGUACAUUUUAGGUAUAAAAUAUAUUUACAUACAUCAUUGGGAUCUUGUACCAUUUCAUGAGUAUCUUUAAAAAUUUUAUUCUUAAUUACCACUAAUAUAAUUAUUCUGGGUACAAUGUGGUAUUUAAUAGGUGCAUAAUUUAUGGAAUGAUACAAUCACCUAUAAGAUUAUCAUUUUGUAGGUGGAGAGAACAUUUAAAAUCCUUUAGUAAUUUAAAGUACACAUGAUUAACUAUCAUUCUCAUGUUCUGCAACAGAUCCUCAAAAGUUAUUCUCCCAACUGAAACUUUCUACCCUUUGGACUAACAUCGCCCUAUUCACCAUUG